UCAAAUUUGCUUAUUCCUACUUGCAAUUUUAACCUGUUUAGAUUACCUUAAGCAUGUUAGGCUAGCACUACCUGUUGCUUGUACCUUCGUACCUCGUUUCUGAUUAUCUUCUGGUUGUGUUUGCGCAUUUACAUUGGGACUACGGAUGUGGGAUUGCGGUAGCUUCCCCUCUUGUUUGUUUACGUUGGGAUUAAGGGUUAGAUUCUCGGUAGAUCUCCCUGCACAUUUACUUUGAGACUACGGGUUAGAUUCCCAGUAGAUCCCCUCCCUGCACAUUUACUUUGGGACUACGGGUCAGAUUCUCGGUAGAUCUCCCCUGUGCAUGUACUCUGGGAC
rnacentral:lncRNA from 1 species